rnacentral:lncRNA from 1 species
ACAUCUUGAUACAAGUUCAUCUCUUCAUCAUCAUCAUGAUUUGAUGAGACAGUUUUCGGUAUCCUCUGCCCCUCGAAAGCAGCUGAAGAAGUGGCUGCAAAUGGUUUCUUUGGAUCUGCUCAGCUGAAUCUUGGCCACGAUAUGAGAUUCGAUGGCGUGUUCUGCCGCGUAAGCUGCAUCUGCAAUACGCAUCUCCAAUGGAUCUGCUUCGUCGCCGUCGGAAACAGGGGAGAUAUAAGCUUCGAGAAACUCCUGCAAGAACGUGACAUUUUCAGUGAGAGAUUGAACUUGUUGUUUGUUGAGAGAAAUUGGAGGGGAAUGAUGGCGCUCGAUGUCGUCUAUGAUAUGAAUUAGAGAAACCAAAGCUGCGUAGGCUGCCAUGAUCGAUAUCAGUUGAAGGGAAAUAGAGUAUAAUUAUGAGAAUUUUGGAUAAGAAUUUGAUAGACUUAAUUGAGCUUCUUAUACUAACACAAUGG